UGCUGGGUAGAAGCUGAUGCAACUGUUAAAGUGUGUAUUAUUUUCGGGUAGGUUUUUUCCAAGGAAGGUGUUGGUGUUACUCUUUUUUCUAUAUGAUAGUCCUUUCAAUAGUUUGAUAGUGAGACAGGGUUACUGCCACUGGAACUCUGGGGCCUCAGGGACAACACGUUGAAGCGGUGUGACACUGAAGUUUGAGUGUGUGUUGUGUGUGUGUCGCGGCAUGCCGGGAACUGUGAGCCAAGGGACCGGGGUGUAAACUAGGUGCUAAUGCGUCCUUUUGCAUGUUUCCACAGUGUCAAGUUUUAAUUAGGAAGGAGACAUAGAUGACAGAUGAUAGAUGGGAUAAAUAGACCAGACAAUGGUGUUCCAGAGAGACAGAAACACCCAGGUAGACAGCACAGCACAGAGAGACAGAAACACCCAGGUAGACAGCACAGAGAGACAGAAACACCCAGGUAGACAGUACAGAUAGACAGAAACACCCAGGUAGACAGCACAGAGAGACAGAAACACCCAGGUAGACAGCACAGUACAGAGAGACAGAAACACCCAGGUAGACAGCACAGAGAGUCAGAAACACCCAGGUAGACAGCACAGAGAGACAGAAACACCCAGGUAGACAGUACAGAGAGACAGAAACACCCAGGUAGACAGCACAGAGAGACAGAAACACCCAGGUAGACAGCACAGAGAGACAGAAACACCCAGGUAGACAGCACAGCACAGAGAGACAGAAACACCCAGGUAGACAGUACAGAGAGACAGAAACACCCAGGUAGACAGCACAGAGAGACAGAAACACCCAGGUAGACAGCACAGAGAGACAGAAACACCCAGGUAGACAGCACAGAGAGACAGAAACACCCAGGUAGACAGCACAGAGAGACAGAAACACCCAGGUAGACAGCACAGAGAGACAGAAACACCCAGGUAGACAGUACAGAGAGACAGAAACACCCAGGUAGACAGCACAGCACAGAGAGACAGAAACACCCAGGUAGACAGUACAGAGAGACAGAAACACCCAGGUAGACAGCACAGUACAGAGAGACAGAAACACCCAGGUAGACAGCACAGCACAGAGAGACAGAAACACCCAGGUAGACAGCACAGAGAGACAGAAACACCCAGGUAGACAGCACAGCACAGAGAGACAGAAACACCCAGGUAGACAGCACAGAGAGACAGAAACACCCAGGUAGACAGCACAGAGACACAGAAACACCCAGGUAGACAGCACAGAGAGACAGAGACACCCAGGUAGACAGCACAGAGAGACAGAGACACCCAGGUAGACAGCACAGAGAGACAGAGACACCCAGGUAGACAGCACAGAGAGACAGAAACACCCAGGUAGACAGCACAGAGAGACAGAAACACCCAGGUAGACAGCACAGAGAGACAGAAACACCCAGGUAGACAGCACAGAGAGACAGAAACACCCAGGUAGACAGCACAGAGAGACAGAAACACCCAGGUAGACAGUACAGAGAGACAGAAACACCCAGGUAGACAGUACAGAGAGACAGAAACACCCAGGUAGACAGCACAGCACAGAGAGACAGAAACACCCAGGUAGACAACACAGAGAGACAGAAACACCCAGAUAGACAGCACAGAGAGACAGAAACACCCAGGUAGACAGCACAGAGAGACAGAAACACCCAGGUAGACAACACAGCACAGGGAGACAGAAACACCCAGGUAGACAGCACAGAGAGACAGAAACACCCAGGUAGACAGCACAGGGAGACAGAAACACCCAGGUAGACAGCACAGCACAGAGAAACAGAAACACCCAGGUAGACAGUACAGAGAGACAGAAACACCCAGGUAGACAGCACAGAGAGACAGAAACACCCAGGUAGACAGCACAGAGAGACAUAAACACCCAGGUAGACAGCACAGCACAGAGAGACAGAAACACCCAGGUAGACAGUACAGAUAGACAGAAACACCCAGGUAGACAGCACAGUACAGAGAGACAGAAACACCCAGGUAGACAGUACAGAGAGACAGAAACACCCAGGUAGACAGCACAGAGAGACAGAAACACCCAGGUAGACAGCACAGAGAGACAGAAACACCCAGGUAGACAGCACAGUACAGAGAGACAGAAACACCCAGGUAGACAGUACAGAGAGACAGAAACACCCAGGUAGACAGUACAGAGAGACAGAAACACCCAGGUAGACAGCACAGUACAGGGAGACAGAAACACCCAGGUAGACAGCACAGUACAGGGAGACAGAAACACCCAGGUAGACAGCACAGCACAGAGAGACAGAAACACCCAGGUAGACAGUACAGAGAGACAGAAACACCCAGGUAGACAGUACAGAGAGACAGAAACACCCAGGUAGACAGCACAGUACAGGGAGACAGAAACACCCAGGUAGACAGCACAGUACAGGGAGACAGAAACACCCAGGUAGACAGCACAGAGAGACAGAAACACCCAGGUAGACAGCACAGUACAGGGAGACAGAAACACCCAGGUAGACAGCACAGCACAGAGAGACAGAAACACCCAGGUAGACAGCACAGCACAGAGAGACAGAAACACCCAGGUAGACAGUACAGCACAGGGAGACAGAAACACCCAGGUAGACAGCACAGUACAGGGAGACAGAAACACCCAGGUAGACAGCACAGCACAGAGAGACAGAAACACCCAGGUAGACAGCACAGCACAGAGAGACAGAAACACCCAGGUAGACAGUACAGCACAGAGAGACAGAAACACCCAGGUAGACAGCACA